CUAGCUUCUCGGUCUUUUGGCUAAGAUCAAGUGUAGUACCUGUUCUUAUCACUUUAAUACCUGGGUGAUGAAAUAAUCUAUACAACAAACCCCCA
rnacentral:snRNA from 1 species